GGUUACUGUCAUUUGAUGUUUGGUGUUGCCAAUUUAAGACCUUUUGCUACUUCAAAUUUGAAAAGGGAGUGGCUUCCUGCACUACUUGUAAGCUAUAUUUAUCAUUCAAACUUAAUUCAACUUAACGAUUAAGGAUGCUUUGUCGAUUCAUCGUAAAUAAAACUGUUGGUUUGUUGAUUGAUGAAAAGAUGCAUAUUCC
rnacentral:lncRNA from 1 species